GGCGGCCUUUUAGCCAUUUGUGUCUUUCGAUUUGAUAUCAAGUUGUACCCGGGUGUUAAAUAAGAUCAAAUCGUUGGCAAUUUGGUUAGAUCGACGCGUUGACGUGUGAGAUGCUAAUUGAAUGUUAGUGUUGGCUGGCUCCCUGCUUUCGCAGCGAACAGUUGGCGCUUACAUAUUUCAGUCGAGGCGGGAGAUGUGCGUGUUGGAUUUUUGUGUUGCCAACCCAAGUGACGGAAUGAAUAUGACCCUGAUGCGUAACUUCGCCAAACACCCCUUGAGGUGCUAGGGCGACGAUGAAGCUGCCCCUUAUUUUGCCAUGCUCUCUCUUUUCUGGAACCGUGGAAAAUUGGUGGUAUUGCUUGUUGCCUCGGAUGCAGAGCAUGAAGCGAGCAUGAUGCAUGUCGUCAUCGCUCAUUCAGAGCUCUCGAUUGCUCGAAAAGAGAGACCGCCGCGCUUGGUUUUGGCUGCCGACUCGUCGAUCCAGCUCGAAUCCUUGCCGGCGUCUUCAAUGAAUGCUACCUGGUUGAUCCUGCCAGUAGUCAUAUGCUUGUCUCAAAGAUUAAGCCAUGCAUG
rnacentral:misc_RNA from 1 species